rnacentral:pre_miRNA from 1 species
UGAUAUUGAUGAUGAUGAUGAUCAUGAUGAUCAUGAUGAUGAUUACAAACGCAAGACUAUUAUUAUCAUCAUCAUCAUCAUCAUCAUCAUCUUCAUUA